rnacentral:rRNA from 1 species
UACGGAGGGGGCUAGCGUUGUUCGGAAUUACUGGGCGUAAAGCGCGCGUAGGCGGACCUGCAAGUCGGGGGUGAAAGCCCGAGGCUCAACCUCGGAACUGCCUUCGAUACUGCGGGUCUCGAGUCCGGGAGAGGUGAGUGGAAUUCCUUAGUGUAGAGGUGAAAUUCGUAGAUAUUAGGAAGAACACCAGUGGCGAAGGCGGCUCACUGGCCCGGUACUGGACGCUGAGGUGGCGAAAAGC